rnacentral:rRNA from 1 species
AAUUCGAUUAGUUUGAUCAUGGCUCAGGAUGAACGCUGGCGGUAUGCUUAACACAUGCAAGUCGAACGGAUGUUUUCGGACAUUAGUGGCGGACGGGUGAGUAACGCGUGAGAAUCUAGCUUCAGGUUGGGGACAACAGUUGGAAACGACUGCUAAUACCGAAUAUGCCGAGAGGUGAAAGAUUUAUUGCCUGAAGAAGAGCUCGCGUCUGAUUAGCUAGUUGGUGGGGUAAGAGCUUACCAAGGCGACGAUCGGUAGCUGGUCUGAGAGGACGAUCAGCCACACUGGGACUGAGACACGGCCCAGACUCCUACGGGAGGCAGCAGUGGGGAAUUUUCCGCAAUGGGCGAAAGCCUGACGGAGCAAUACCGCGUGAGGGAAGAAGGCUCUUGGGUUGUAAACCUCUUUUCUUAGGGAAGAAAAAAAUGACGGUACCUAAGGAAUAAGCAUCGGCUAACUCCGUGCCAGCAGCCGCGGUAAUACGGAGGAUGCAAGCGUUAUCCGGAAUGAUUGGGCGUAAAGCGUCCGCAGGUGGUUUAUCAAGUUUGCGGUUAAAGGUUCUGGCUCAACCAGAGACAGGCCGUGAAAACUGAUAGACUAGAGUAUGGUAGGGGCAGAGGGAAUUCCCAGUGUAGCGGUGAAAUGCGUAGAGAUUGGGAAGAACACCGGUGGCGAAAGC